UUUUUUUUUUUUUUGUUUGGCUUCUGAGUUCUGAGACUUGUUUUUGUUAUCUCCUUGCAAAGUUGCAGUAUUGUAUUUUAGAAGCAUCUUGAUGCAUUUAAAUUUUAGGAAUAAAUUAUGCAACAUAUAUAUUGUGCGAUAAUCGGGAUGCUUGAUGAGUUGAGCUGGUUAUUCCGUCUCCACGCGGUUAGAUGCGUGCAUCUGGAGCGGAGCGGCAGAUGCUUGCACGGGCAGCGGAGUGAGCUGGGCGGUGGCGUGUGCAGCUCCGGCGGCAGGUUCAAGUCGGUGGAAGCCUGUCAGCAUCGCUUCUGAGCAUGCUUCGGGCCAACAGCAAGUAACCGGGCCUCGCAAGUCGUCACGGCUCAGGAAGGAGAAUCCACGUUUCCUCAGCCCAAAUUGGGAGUAGGCGUGCGUGAGUUUGACGGUGUCUUUGGUGAUAAUGUUCGCUUCAGGUUAUAAGCCGGCUGAAAAGUUGAAACAGCUGAUUUGUUGUGAGAGGAAAACACCGUUUGGUAGCUGAUAAGCCAACUGAAUAAGCUGAAGCGAACAGGCUCAUGACUUUUUACUACAAUUAUACAAGUUGCAGAAAACUAAUGUAGCUUCUGAUUUGACCUUCCCGAUCGCCGGCUUCAUGCUGGCAAGAAAGCCAACCAAACCAUGCCAGGAUGUCAGCAUCAAGUCUGGAGUUGCAAAAGGAGCAGUGGUCAGACGUUAGGGGCUUGCACAUGAUGAAAAGGUAACAUCACUACAUCAGCUUGCCACAAACCCCAGAGGUAAAUAAUUCAGAUUUGGAUGGCUGCUCCAAAACUAGACUUCGGGACAGAACAAACAAAUUGAGGAAUCAUUACGAGCAAAUCACGAACCGCUUGUGGACGAGAGACACAACGUUCCAUCGCAAAAUAUUUGAAAUAGUUCAGGCAAACACUCAAGACAACCUGAACCCGCUGUACACCAGGCAGGCCACAGCUGACGAAUAGUUCGAGCAGAGGCAACAAUGCGCAUAACCGAACCCAAACACUCUUUGACAACGGGUGCAUGUAAAGUGCAGUGAUCUGUUUGAUAGAAUGUUGAGAGAUGAAAGUCGUACAAGGAGACGAGGCAGAAUGUUCAAUUCGGGAAAAAAUGUAAAUCUUGAACCAAUGAUGCAAAGUCGAAAAAAGAGGAGCAAACGAAGAGUUGUAGUUGAAAACAAGGGUAACCGAUUACUCUACCAUGAUAUGGCAGAAUGAGCAUCAAAUUAGGUGCAUGCUUCCAGAAAACUCCAUGAUGCGACUUGUGAGCAUUCCUCGGUACAGGAGGUAAACAAAAUCUUCGCUCUAACAGCCUUGCUGUCCUACAAAUUAUUAUGCAUCGAGCAUAAACUUUUCCCGGGGCAAAAAAGACCUAUUUCACCUGUUUAAUGAGUUCC
rnacentral:lncRNA from 1 species